rnacentral:rRNA from 1 species
GACGAACCGUGCGAACGUUAUUCGGAAUCACUGGGCUUAAAGGGCGCGUAGGCGGGCUGUCAAGUCUGGGGUGAAAUCCUACGGCUCAACCGUGGAACUGCCUUAGAUACUGACGGCCUCGAGGAAGGUAGGGGCAUGCGGAACUGUAGGUGGAGCGGUGAAAUGCGUUGAUAUCUACAGGAACUCCGGUGGCGAAAGCGGCGUGCUGGACCUUUUCUGACGCUGAGGCGCGAAAGCUAGGGGAGCAAACGGG